AUUCCAGCUCCAAUAGCGUAUACUAAAGUUGUUGCAGUUAAAAAGCUCGUAGUUGAAUUUCUGGUCGUGGCGACCGGUCCGCCCCAUACGGGGUGUGCACCUGGUGUCUGCGUCCAUCCUCGGGGAGAGCGCGUCUGGCAUUCAGUUGUCGGGCGCGGGAUCCUCGUCAUUUACUGUGAGCAAAAUAGAGUGUUCAAAGCAGGCUUAGGCCGUUGAAUACAUUAGCAUGGAAUAAUAAGAUAGGACCUUGGUCUAUUUUGUUGGUUUGCAUUCCAAGGUAAUGAUUAAUAGGGAUAGUUGGGGGUAUUCGUAUUCAAUUGUCAGAGGUGAAAUUCUUGGAUUUAUGGAAGACGAACUACUGCGAAAGCAUUUACCAAGGAUGUUUUCAUUA
rnacentral:rRNA from 1 species